ACACAUGCNAGUCGAACGAANGCUUCGGCCUUAGUGGCGCACGGGUGAGUAACACGUGGGAAUAUACCUAUCGGUGGGGAAUAACGUCGGGAAACUGACGCUNAUACCGCAUACGCCCUUAGGGGGAAAGAUUUAUCGCCGAGAGAUUAGCCCGCGUCCGAUUAGCUAGUUGGUGAGGUAAAANNNNACCAAGGCGACGAUCGGNNNCUGGUAUGAGAGGAUGAUCAGCCACACUGGGACUGAGACACGUCCCA
rnacentral:rRNA from 1 species